rnacentral:rRNA from 1 species
AUUGAACGCUGGCGGCAGGCCUCACACAUGCAAGUCGAGCGGCAGCGGGAAAGUAGCUUGCUACUUUUGCCGGCGAGCGGCGGACGGGUGAGUAAUGCCUGGGAAAUUGCCCAGUCGAGGGGGAUAACAGUUGGAAACGACUGCUAAUACCGCAUACGCCCUACGGGGGAAAGCAGGGGACCUUCGGGCCUUGCGCGCUUGGAUAUGCCCAGGUGGGGUUAGCUAGUUGGUGAGGUAAUGGCUCACCAAGGCGACGAUCCCUAGCUGGUCUGGGAGGAUGAUCAGCCACACUGGAACUGAGACACGGUCCAGACUCCUACGGGAGGCAGCAGUGGGGAAUAUUGCACAAUGGGGGAAACCCUGAUGCAGCCAUGCCGCGUGUGUGAAGAAGGCCUUCGGGUUGUAAAGCACUUUCAGCGAGGAGGAAAGGUUGAUGCCUAAUACGUAUCAACUGUGACGUUACUCGCAGAAGAAGCACCGGCUAACUCCGUGCCAGCAGCCGCAGUAA